AACGAACGCUGGCGGCAUGCCUAACACAUGCAAGUCGAACGAGACCUUCGGGUCUAGUGGCGCACGGGUGCGUAACGCGUGGGAACCGCCCUUAGGUUCGGAAUAACUCCCCGAAAGGGGUGCUAAUACCGGAUAAUGUCUUCGGUCCAAAGAUUUAUCGCCUUUGGAUGGGCCCGCGUUGGAUUAGCUAGUUGGUAGGGUAAAAGCCUACCAAGGCGACGAUCCAUAGCUGGUCUGAGAGGAUGAUCAGCCACACUGGGACUGAGACACGGCCCAGACUCCUACGGGAGGCAGCAGUGGGGAAUAUUGGACAAUGGGCGAAAGCCUGAUCCAGCAAUGCCGCGUGAGUGAUGAAGGCCUUAGGGUUGUAAAGCUCUUUUACCCGGGAUGAUAAUGACAGUACCGGGAGAAUAAGCUCCGGCUAACUCCGUG
rnacentral:rRNA from 1 species